AAAUUAGAGUUUUCAUUAGUUUCUUCUUUUUAUUUCGGUAUAUAAUGUUAUCUCGCUGACCUUCAGCCGUUGGGAAGAGGGGCAAACGAACAGCCCGAAAUUUCAAGUUUGAUAAAAAAAAUUGCAGGGGAAAAUCAAUUCAUUGAUUAAGUAAUAAUGGUUUUACAGUCAUCUAGAAUAGUGUGGAAAGAGAACGAUUUCAAUCUUUUCCUAAGAAUGCUUGGACCUCUACUACAAACAGGAAUUUUUCUGCUGUGCAAAAAGAAGAAACGUCUACAACAGGACCCGAUAACGCGCGCACGUUCGGUACCACAGGGCGCCGGUCCGAACGACCCUGUUCGGAGUGGGACUCCCUCGAGCCGAACAAAAUUGUUCGGACAUGAUUCCUUAACCCCCGAACUACCACGUGGCGAAACCCCCCUCUUGGUCCACACGGCUUCUCCCCUCGACCCCCGAUCCAAAAACGCCCUGCGUCUCCCACCUCCACCCCCGGUCCCCACCAUAGUUCCCCUUCCCCUCCAUACCCUUAUUCAUGGAAUUUGCCAUGGCAAGAUCGGAGGAACCCUACAGAAACUGAGCUACUUGAAGUGAAAUCAGGAAGCUAAUGUAUCAAAAGGGAUUGAUGUAGAUGUUGUGUGGGAUUUGAGAAAAUUGCCAACCCUGUUAAAGGUACAAUGCCAUGAGUAUAUGAAACAGGAGGGGGAUGGCAAUCUGCUUCUUUACACUACAAAAAAUGCCAUCACUACGAAGUUUACACUAUGAAAAAGUUGCCGUGAAGUUUACACACAUAGAGAUACAAGAUGGAAAACAAAAGAAGAGGUUUACAAUACGAAACUUGCCAUCAUGGCAACAAUGCGGUGAAAAAUGUUUUUUAACAUCUUAAGUCGCCAUGGCAAGUUUCCAUGUUUUUGAACAUAUUAAUUAAAGAAAAUUGCCAUGGAAAUUUUUUGAGAGAUGGAAAAUGUUGUGACAUGGCAAGUUUGCCAUGUUUUUUAA